CCGCAAGCCCUUAAUUUUUAUUAGUUCAGUUCCUCUCUCAAAGCUUGCUCGUACCUCCACCGUCCCUUCCGCGGCCGCCGCCGUUCCUGCUGCGUCGAUGCCGCUCUUGUUUUGUGUCUCUUCGUCCAUGUAGUUCGUUGCCCUGUCCUCAUAAGCCACCAGCACCAUUUCGCCGCUCAUGGGUCUCUCAAAGGAACAACUUCUAGCACGGUUACAGAAGCUUCAAAUUGAAUUUUCCCAGUAUGAGCAUCCAGUUGUUUUGACUGUUGAAGCCCAGGCAAAAUAUGUUGGAAAUUUAGAGGGUGGCUUGAGUAAAAAUUUAUUUUUGAAGGACUGGCUUUUGUUUUAUUUUCCUUGCUUGGGGUGUCUACUAGGGUAAAUCAAUGGUGGGA